rnacentral:lncRNA from 1 species
GUAAAUUAAAUGAAAUAAUUUCCUUGCCUAAGAAGGGGAAAAUUAUUCAAACUACAUUUCAUGUUUGCCUAUUUUCUUCCUGUUGCUUAUGCCAAUAGGGGACACAAGAGGCGAUUUCAAGAAACACUAAUAGGAUUGUGAGAAAGUUGGCCAAGGAAGAGGAACAGCCAAUAAACGGUGACUUGUCAAGACAGUUAGGACCCUGGGAGCUAAAUCUGCCUGGAGAACUCUGGAAAUCAGUGUGGAACACAUACUUCAGCAUCAUCUCAGCUAAUGGACAAGUAAGCAAGAAGAAAAUAUAAAAUAAGCUUUCAGCAAUUUAAAAUGCAGCAGAAGGAGUUACAUGCCAUUUUCCAGAAAAAAAUAUCAACCUGUAGCAGAUUUGCAAUCUGAACCUGAGGUUAGUGCUUAACAGUGGUUGUUGGAAUUGGAAAUACCACCUGCUUCCAUUUCUGCAGUCACUUGAGAGAAAGCAAAUACAAAGCAUGGUACCAAAUAGAGUUGAGGGCAUUGAAGUGGCAAUCAAACACACUGCAGAAACAAAUGGAAGAGAGUGAUACCACAGACUCAGGGAGGAUGCAGUUCAUCCAUCACAUAACCAGCCAAAAUUGCUAUUUGUUCUUUUCCAACUUGUGAAAAGAUGAGACUCACUUCUCUGUCUUCACAUGGAGAAGCAACUCAGGUCAUUUAAAACCCCCAAAUACACCACAUGUUUCAAUAUAAC